UGAAAGUAAUAGGAAAGUCUUUGAAGAUGAAUGGAAUCAUCUUCGUGCUCAUGUUUUGCGUCUUUGUCAUGUUUUCCAUUCUUUUCCGACAAAACUUAAGCAAGUCCGACCCAAAGCGAUUUGGUUCCAUGCUCAAUACCAUGUCUACACUCCUCCAGCUGUUGACACUUGAUGAUUGGAUUAGCGUCUAUUACACCAGUCGAGACAAUGGUGCACCUGAUGUUAUCAUCUUCAUCGUCUUGUACAUCUUGACUGAAUACUACAUCCUUUUAAGUCUGAUCUAUGCAGUGACGGUGGACACCAUCCUCAGCCACAGAAAGGUCAGAGGACAUCAAUAAAAACAAUUAUAAAACACAAUUCUAAUCCAACAUGAAGGUUUUCAUUGACAAUGUUCCCUCUUACUGAACAUGUUCACAUUCAGAAUAUGGUUGAGGAACAGCCGUCGCCGAUCGAGAC
rnacentral:lncRNA from 1 species